AGCUUUUGCAGCGGCAAUAUCUCAGCCAAUGAGGUUUAGCCAAACUGCGAUUAUUGCCAAUUCAAAACGUUUCCCAGUACCCUGCUAUGAUGACUAGUGAUAUAGUUGUUACUGGCAAAUUUUGACAGUCUCUAUGGAGG
ensembl:snRNA U4 U4 spliceosomal RNA